AGGAAGAGAAUUAUUUUAAAGGGUCCUUUUAACUGAAAUCUCCUUUGGAUUAAGAUGUGCUACAUGAGCUCAAACUAAUUGGAAAGGUGGCAGGAUAAUGGCAUUGAUAGCCAGUGGAUAUGGGCUCCUUGGGCCCCACUGGCCAUUUGAUGGCAUCCCAAAGGCAAUCACAAGGAAAGUUAAAGGAGGGAAUAUUGAUGUACAUCCAUCAGAAAAAGCACUCAUUGUUCACUAUGAAGUAGAAGCUACCAUUCUUGGAGAAAUGGGGGACCCCAUGUUGGGAGAACGAAAAGAAUGUCAAAAAAUCAUUCGACUUAAAAGUCUCAAUGCCAACACAGAUAUAACUUCCCUGGCAAGGAAGGUGGUCGAAGAAUGUAAACUCAUUCAUCCUUCAAAACUAAAUGAGGUAGAACAGCUGUUGUACUAUCUACAGAACCGCCGUGAUUCAUUGUCAGGAAAAGAGAAAAAAGAAAAAUCAAGCAAACCUAAAGAUCCACCUCCUUUUGAAGGAAUGGAGAUUGAUGAAGUUGCUAACAUUAAUGACAUGGAUGAAUAUAUUGAGUUAUUAUAUGAAGAUAUUCCUGACAAAGUUCGGGGUUCUGCUUUGAUCCUGCAGCUUGCUCGAAAUCCUGAUAACUUGGAAGAACUACUAUUGAAUGAAACUGCCCUUGGUGCAUUAGCAAGGGUCCUGAGAGAAGACUGGA
rnacentral:sRNA from 1 species